rnacentral:lncRNA from 1 species
AUGCUAUCUAACGUCAGAAAGAAGAAACGUUUAAAAAAAGUAACAUGAAAACAAUGUCCGCUCUAGCUCGGUGACACUAAAUUGAAAGAACUAACAAACAAAGCCACCACGCAGCAUCACACAUUACAACAGACGAAAUCCUCAAGGUGAUAAUAAUAGACGCCAGUUCAACUUCUACACUGAGGAAAAGGCACUCGAGGCGGUGAUAUUCGUUCAUGUACCUUGUCUGCAAGUGAUUCCCGACGUUUCAGCACCUAGGCAACAGUGCUUGGACAGUGGAUUGCUGAAAGGAAAAACACCUAGUUGGUUACAUACUACAAGGCAACGGCAAAUGUAAGAUCAAUCACAAUGGAUGGUGAAACACUACCCUGUCUCACAACAACAGCAUGUUCCAGGCUCAUGCGAUCCUCACACAUUAGGGACUGGGCAUCUGAUUGUUUUAAUAAUCACCUGUAUCACCCUUUUAGCUUUAUUCCUUUCAUUCUGCACUUUACCUAACCUGUGAUAAAUCUUUCUUUUUGAAUGAACACAUUUUGUUUGUUUUUUAAUUUAGCAGACAAACGAGACAGCAAUCAAUUCACAACCGUCACAACUGUCAA